rnacentral:rRNA from 1 species
GCAUAUCAAUAAGCGGAGGAAAAGAAACCAACAGGGAUUGCCCUAGUAACGGCGAGUGAAGCGGCAACAGCUCAAAUUUGAAAUCUGGCGUCUUUGGCGUCCGAGUUGUAAUUUGCAGAGGGCGCUUUGGCAUUGGCAGCGGUCCAAGUUCCUUGGAACAGGACGUCACAGAGGGUGAGAAUCCCGUACGUGGUCGCUAGCCUUUACCGUGUAAAGCCCCUUCGACGAGUCGAGUUGUUUGGGAAUGCAGCUCUAAAUGGGAGGUAAAUUUCUUCUAAAGCUAAAUACUGGCCAGAGACCGAUAGCGCACAAGUAGAGUGAUCGAAAGAUGAAAAGCACUUUGGAAAGAGAGUUAAAAAGCACGUGAAAUUGUUGAAAGGGAAGCGCUUGCAGCCAGACUUGCCUGUAGUUGCUCAUCCGGGUUUUUACCCGGUGCACUCUUCUAUAGGCAGGCCAGCAUCAGUUUGGGCGGUUGGAUAAAGGUCUCUGUCACGUACCUCCUCUCGGGGAGAACUUAUAGGGGAGACGUAAUGCAACCAGCCUGGACUGAGGUCCGCGCAUCUGCUAGGAUGCUGGCGUAAUGGCUGUAAGCGGCCCGUCUUGAAACACGGACCAAGGAGUCUAACAUCUAUGCGAGUGUUUGGGUGUCAAGCCCGAGCGCGUAAUGAAAGUGAACGGAGGUGGGAACCUUUCGGGGUGCACCAUCGACCGAUCCUGAUGUCUUCGGAUGGAUUUGAGUAAGAGCAUAGCUGUUGGGACCCGAAAGAUGGUGAACUAUGCUUGAAUAGGGUGAAGCCAGAGGAAACUCUGGUGGAGGCUCGCAGCGGUUCUGACGUGCAAAUCGAUCGUCAAAUUUGGGCAUAGGGGCGAAAGACUAAUCGAACUAUCUAGUAGCUGGUUCCUGCG